AUUGGGUUGGCCAAAAAGUUCGUUCGGGUUUUUCUGUAAGAUGUUAUGAAAACCCGAAUGAACUUCUUGGCCAAUCCAAU
rnacentral:miRNA from 1 species